CGGGGCGUAGCUCAGCCUGGUAGAGCACUGGUUUUGGGAGCCAGGUGUCGGUGGUUCAAAUCCACUCGCCCCGACCA
rnacentral:tRNA from 1 species